rnacentral:rRNA from 1 species
GACAGAGGGUGCAAACGUUGUUCGGAUUUACUGGGCGUAAAGCGUGUGUAGGCGGCUUUGCAAGUCGGAUGUGAAAUCCCACGGCUCAACCGUGGAAGUGCAUCCGAAACGGCAUCGCUUGAGUCUCGGAGAGGAAGGUGGAAUGCUUGGUGUAGAGGUGAAAUUCGUAGAUAUCAAGCAGAACACCUGCGGCGAAGGCGGCGUUCUGGACUGCAACUGACACUGAAAAACGAAAGCCAGGGGAGCAGACGGG